GCGGAUGUAGUUUAAUGGUAAAAUCUAAGCUUCCCAAGCUUAUGUCGCGGGUUCGAUUCCCGUCAUCCGCU
rnacentral:tRNA from 1 species